rnacentral:lncRNA from 1 species
AUCCACCUGAGCAUCCUUAUCUCUGCAACCUUCAUCCUCUGAACAUGAGAGUUCUUCACUGUCCAGCACUCCGCCCCAUACAACAUGGCCGGUCUAACCACAACUCUAUAAAAUUUCCCCUUGAGUUUCUGUGGAACUUUCUUGUCACAUAAGACUCCUGAUGCAAGCCUCCACUUUGACCACCCCGCUCCAAUACGCUGAGUGACGUCCCCGUCAAUCUCUCCGUCCCCCUGAAUCACCGACCCAAGAUAUCUGACGCUGUCCCUCUUGGCGAUGACCUGAGAUCCAAU